rnacentral:rRNA from 1 species
UACGUAGGGGGCAAGCGUUGUCCGGAUUUAUUGGGCGUAAAGAGCGUGUAGGCGGCCAUGUAGGUCCGGUGUGAAAACUCGAGGCUUAACCUCGAGAUGUCAUCGGAAACCAUUUGGCUAGAGUCCGGAAGAGGAGAGUGGAAUUCCUGGUGUAGCGGUGAAAUGCGCAGAUAUCAGGAAGAACACCAAUGGCGAAAGCAGCUCUCUGGGGACGGUACUGACGCUGAGACGCGAAAGCGUGGGGAGCGAACAGG